rnacentral:rRNA from 1 species
UACGUAGGGUGCGAGCGUUGUCCGGAAUUAUUGGGCGUAAAGGGCUCGUAGGCGGUUUGUCGCGUCGGGAGUGAAAACUCAGGGCUUAACCCUGAGCCUGCUUCCGAUACGGGCAGACUAGAGGUAUGCAGGGGAGAUCGGAAUUCCUGGUGUAGCGGUGAAAUGCGCAGAUAUCAGGAGGAACACCGGUGGCGAAGGCGGAUCUCUGGGCCAUUACUGACGCUGAGGAGCGAAAGCGUGGGGAGCGAACAGG